rnacentral:rRNA from 1 species
GACAGAGGAUGCAAGCGUUAUCCGGAAUGAUUGGGCGUAAAGCGUCUGUAGGUGGCUUUUCAAGUCCGCCGUCAAAUCCCAGGGCUCAACCCUGGACAGGCGGUGGAAACUGCCAAGCUGGAGUACGGUAGGGGCAGAGGGAAUUUCCGGUGGAGCGGUGAAAUGCGUAGAGAUCGGGAAGAACACCAACGGCGAAGGCACUCUGCUGGGCCGACACUGACACUGAGAGACGAAAGCGAGGGGAGCGAAUGGG